AUGAAACCAGCAGCUACAGGGCAUAUUUGUACAAGGUACUUUGGAGAGAACUCAGACCCACUGCACGGCUGGCCAGGGGUUGGCGUUUGCAGAGUCUGGGCAUCACGGAUGUGCCUGAACAUCAGUUCUCCAGGCAGAGGAAGCUGGUGUGUUGGUCACCAUGGACAGCCCUGGGGCCAGCCUCAUGGUCUGGGCAGCCUGUGGCCUCCUGGUCAUGCUGGACACUGUGUGCUAUGCUGGUUAUGCUGGGCACCCUGGUUUCUGAGUCCGGGAAUGUGGAGGUGUCCUACAUUUAUAUCUUACAUACCCAUGCCUCCUUGCCUGCCUGUCUUGUUUGUCACCUUGUACACAAUCUUGUACACACUGGUCUUGAUAACUUGCUGUCUCUGAGCCUUGCUGAGUCCGCAUGGCCCCUUUACCCUGGCUGUUCCUCAGGGCCCCAGGCCAUAGGCAGGCUGCAACACUCCAUGCUAGACUGCCUCUCCUCCCAUGACGCCGUUCUCACAUUGCUUGGGCUCUAA
rnacentral:lncRNA from 1 species